UCAAUUUCCAGUUUGUUUGGGCAUAAUAAUAAUCCAAGAGGCGGCAAAACGAGAUCUACGCGAAACUCAUUAACAAAGUGAUCCAACAAAACAUUGUAAUUAUGAACACGCCGCCACAGAGAAAAGAUGGUCCAUAAGCAAUCUUCAGAUCGGACCAGCAAACGUGCUUCUCGAUAUAGCUCGAAGCUAUUUUCAGCAGCAUUCCGUAAUUAAACACUUGAAAUGGACUUGGCCGUGGACCAAGUGGAGGGCCAAUAGGAACCGUAUUGGGC
ensembl:ncRNA lncRNA:CR45734 long non-coding RNA:CR45734